rnacentral:rRNA from 1 species
GAUGAACGCUGGCGGCGUGCCUAAUACAUGCAAGUCGAGCGAAUGGAUUAAGAGCUUGCUCUUAUGAAGUUAGCGGCGGACGGGUGAGUAACACGUGGGUAACCUGCCCAUAAGACUGGGAUAACUCCGGGAAACCGGGGCUAAUACCGGAUAAUAUUUUGAACCGCAUGGUUCGAAAUUGAAAGGCGGCUUCGGCUGUCACUUAUGGAUGGACCCGCGUCGCAUUAGCUAGUUGGUGAGGUAACGGCUCACCAAGGCAACGAUGCGUAGCCGACCUGAGAGGGGGAUCGGCCACACUGGGACUGAGAGCCGGCCCAGACUCCUACGGGGGGCAGCAGUAGGGAAUCCUCCGCAAUGGACGAAAGUCUGACGGAGCAACGCCGCGUGAGUGAUGAAGGCUUUCGGGUCGUAAAACUCUGUUGUUAGGGAAGAACAAGUGCUAGUUGAAUAAGCUGGCACCUUGACGGUACCUAACCAGAAAGCCACGGCUAACUACGUGCCAGCCGCCGCAGUAA